UGAACGCUGGCGGCGUGCUUAACACAUGCAAGUCGAACGAACCUUCGGGUUAGUGGCGGACGGGUGAGUAACGCGUGAGAAUCUGCCCUCAGGAGGGGGAUAACGGCUGGAAACGGCCGCUAAUACCCCAUAUGCCGAGAGGUGAAAUGAAUUUCGCCUGAGGAUGAGCUCGCGUCUGAUUAGCUAGUUGGUAGGGUAAAGGCCUACCAAGGCUUCGAUCAGUAGCUGGUCUGAGAGGAUAAUCAGCCACACUGGGACUGAGACACGGCCCAGACUCCUACGGGAGGCAGCAGUGGGGAAUUUUCCGCAAUGGGCGAAAGCCUGACGGAGCAACGCCGCGUGAGGGAUGAAGGCCUCUGGGCUGUAAACCUCUUUUAUCAAGGAAGAAGAUCUGACGGUACUUGAUGAAUAAGCCACGGCUAAUUCC
rnacentral:rRNA from 1 species